rnacentral:rRNA from 1 species
CUACGGGCCGCUGCAGUGAGGAAUAUUGCACAGUGGGGGGAACCCUGAUGCAGCAACGCCGCGUGGAGGAUGACGCAUUUCGGUGUGUAAACUCCUUUUAUAUGUCAAGAAAAUGACGGUAGCAUAUGAAUAAGCACCGGCUAACUCCGUGCCAGCAGCCGCGGUAAUACGGAGGGUGCAAGCGUUACUCGGAAUCACUGGGCGUAAAGGACGCGUAGGCGGGUUGGAAAGUCAGGUGUGAAAUCCUACAGCUUAACUGUAGAACUGCACUUGAAACUUCUAAUCUAGAGUAUGGGAGGGGGAGAUGGAAUUAGUGGUGUAGGGGUAACAUCCGUAGAUAUCACUAGGAAUACCUGAAGCGAAGGCGAUCUCCUGGAACAUUACUGACGCUAAGGCGUGAAAGCGUGGGGAGCAAACAGGAUUAGAUACCCGAGUAGUC